GCAAACUUGGUCAUUUAGAGGAAGUAAAAGUCGUAACAAGGUUUCCGUAGGUGAACCUGCGGAAGGAUCAUUAAAAAAUCUUUCGAGCCGCAAGGCUCUAUUAUCUUGUGAAGUGUUUGCUGUACACACGCUGUGUGUGUGUGGGUGAGAUGGGAUGAAGGUUGUGUUGGUGGAUGAAGGUUGAGAGUGAGAGUUCAUAGAGUUCUCCUCAUAUCAUCAUCAUAUCGUCAUCAUCAUCAUCAUGAUUCCAUCUCUCUGCACAUGCUGCGUUGUACGCUUUUAAAAUGUAUGGUUUUGAUGUGCUGUUUGUAUGUAUGUGUUACACUUGUGUUACACCGGUGUAAUACUAAUACCUAAUACAAUACAACUUUCAACAGUGGAUCUCUCGGCUCUUGCAUCGAUGAAGAACGCAGC
rnacentral:misc_RNA from 1 species